GGUCUUACCCGGCAGGGGAGAUGGCAUGAUCAUGAAAAUGGUUUUUCCCAGGGUGAGCUUACCCAUUGCAUUCUGAUGUGCUGAUUUCCGUGAUUUCCCCAAAUGUGGGAAACUCACUCGGCUGCAUAAUUGGUGGUAGUGGGGGCUGUGUUAUGCUCUCUCCUUG
rfam:Homo sapiens chromosome 13, GRCh38 reference primary assembly.